rnacentral:rRNA from 1 species
CCUACGGGAGGCAGCAGUGAGGAAUAUUGGUCAAUGGGCGCAAGCCUGAACCAGCCAAGUCGCGUGAGGGAUGACGGUCCUAUGGAUUGUAAACCUCUUUUGUCGGGGAGCAAGGCCCGCCACGUGUGGCGGGAAGGAGAGUACCCGACGAACAAGCAUCGGCUAACUCCGGUCCAGCAGCCGCGGUAAUACGGGGGAUGCGAGCGUUAUCCGGCUUUAUUGGGUUUAUAGGGUGCGUGGGCGGAAGGUUAAGUCAGCGGUGAAAUGUCGGUGCUCAAUACCGGCCUGCUGUUGAAACUGGUCGUCUUGAGUGAGCGAGAAGUAUGCGGAAUGCGUGGUGUAGCGGUGAAAUGCAUAGAUAUCACGCAGAACUCCGAUUGCGAAGGCAGCAUACCGGCGCUCAACUGACGCUGAGGCACGAAAGCGUGGGGAUCGAACAGGAUUAGAUACCCGAGUAGUC